rnacentral:rRNA from 1 species
UACACUUUAAAUCCUUUAACGAGGAUCUAGUGGAGGGCAAGUCUGGUGCCAGCAGCCGCGGUAAUUCCAGCUCCAAUAGCGUAUAUUAAAGUUGUUGUGGUUAAAAAGCUCGUAGUUGGAUCUCGGUUUCGGGUGAAUGGUGCACCUUGCGGUGUUUACUAUUUACUCGGACGAUUUUGUUGGUUCGUUCCUGGUUCUCUUUAUCGAGUGCCUUGAGUGGCCAACACGUUUACUUUGAAAAAAUUGGAGUGCUCAAAGCAGGCGCUACAGCCUGAACAUUAGUGCAUGGAAUAAUGGAAUAGGAUCUCGGUUCUACUUCGUUGGCUUUCGGAGUCGAGGUAAUGAUUAAUAGGGACAGACGGGGGCAUUCGUACUGCGACGUUAGAGGUGAAAUUCUUGGAUCGUCGCAAGACGAACUACUGCGAAAGCAUUUGCCAAGAAUGUUUUCAUUAAUCAAGAACGAAAGUUAGAGGUUCGAAGGCGAUCAGAUACCGCCCUAGUUCUAACCAUAAACGAUGUCGACCGGCAAUCUGCUCUCGUUAAAUUAAUGACUGAGCAGGCGGCCUGCUGGAAACAAGAGUAUUUGGAUUCCAGGGGGAGUAUGGUUGCAAAGCUGAAACUUAAAAGAAUUGACGGAAGGGCACCACCAGGAGUGGAGCCUGCGGCUUAAUUUGACUCAACACGGGAAAUCUCACCAGGCCCGGACACCGGAAGGAUUGACAGAUUGAGAGCUCUUUCUUGAUUCGGUGGGUGGUGGUGCAUGGCCGUUCUUAGUUGGUGGAGCGAUUUGUCUGGUUAAUUCCGAUAACGAUCGAGACUCUGGCCUACUAAAUAGACGUCGAAUCUUUUAUAGGUUUGUCGUAUGCUUCUUAGAGGGACGGGCGGCGUUUAGCCGCACGAGAAUGAGCAAUAACAGGUCUGUGACGCCCUUAGAUGUUCUGGGCCGCACGCGCGCUACACUGAAGAAAUCAGCGUGUGUUCCUCAUCCGAAAGGAUUGGGUAACCCGUUGAACCUUCUUCGUGAUGGGGAUUGGGGAUUGCAAUUAUUCCCCAUGAACGAGGAAUUCCCAGUAGGCGCGAGUCAUAAGCUUGCGUCGAUUACGUCCCUGCCCUUUGUACACACCGCCCGUCGCUACUACCGAUCGAGUGAUUUAGUGAGGACUCCGGACUGGUCUCUGAUGUGACUCUCGGGUUAUGUCGGUGUACUGGAAAGUUGUCCAAACUUGAUUACUUAGAGGAAGUAAAAGUCGUA